UACUCAAUGAUAUGGUGUCUGCACGCAAGUCAGAAAGAUUACACUGUGAUACAAUCUAAUAUCAUUACAUUACACACGGAGUACGCGAUCUACAUGUUUAUCCCAUUCGAAUCCAGUUAUUUCAUCUGUCACUGUAAUUCGUGUUUGAAUCACAACGUAUCUAACAAGAAUAAAACAAUUAUUAAAAAUAUACCCCAACGUCCUACUAUAAUUCUCAUUCAAUAUGUUGUCAUCAAUUGUGAAAGAACACCAGAGCAAACAUUCAGCUAGAAAAGAAAGGCAAGAACAAAAGCGCAAGGAAGCCGUUCAGGCAGCAAAUAAUUUGACUCAAGCUCUCGUUGAUCAUUUGAACGUUGGGGUUGCUCAGGCUUAUUUGAAUCAAAAGAGAUUGGAUGCAGAAGCUAAACAAUUGCAGCAUAGCGCAACCAGUUUUGCCAAGCAGACGCAAGCUUGGCUCAACUUGGUCGAAAGUUUUUCUAGUGCUCUAAAAGAAAUUGGUGAUGCCGAAAAUUGGGCAAGAAGUAUAGAAGGUGACAUGAGAACAAUUGCCACUGCUCUAGAAUAUUCCUAUAAAGCAACCCAGGAAACCCAGGAAGCACAAGGAACACAAGCACCCAACGAGCCUUCACGUCCUACUAAUCCUCAAUCUAUAAAUUAGUAUUAAUUUACUUCUGAAAGAUACACAUCUACCAAAGUUGUGGAAAUGCAUCUUUUACUCAACUCAUUAAAAGAGGAAAGGUGAUAACAACAGACUUUGAGGUGUAUGCGAGUAUUAUUACUCUAUUGUGCAAUUUCAACAUAUCUCACCACUGUAGAUGACACAAUUCGUAAUGAUACAGGUGCUAAAUAACAUUUCACAGAAAUUAAACCAAAAAAAGAAAAAAAAUGGUUGGGGACUAGGUAAAUAAAGACUAAAGAAAAAACACGGUUCGUUACAAUAUGAAAGUCAAUAUUUAUUGACUAGCUUAGGAAAUAGCAAUUAACUUAUUGUCUAGACAAAAUCAAAGUUCUUAGGGGUUUUAGAGGAAGUUAGAGGUUUUGGGAUGGUGGAGGGAUGGGAAAGUCGCGGAUAAUUUUAGUUUUAUUUUUUUAUUCAUUCAUUUAUUUGUAAUCAAUCGAUGAGUUCUUCUACUGUGGGGUAUCUUGUAUAUAACCAAAUCAACUCAACUGAUAAAGAAUAUGAUCGGUGUAAACUUGAAAUGGCUGUACUUUCCCGUAGGAAAA
rnacentral:misc_RNA from 1 species